AGUGAACGCUGGCGGUAGGCCUAACACGUGCCAGUCGAACGGCAGCACAGUAAGAGCUUGCUCUUACGGGUGGCGAGUGGCGGACGGGUGAGGAAUACAUCGGAAUCUACUUUUUCGUGGGGGAUAACGUAGUGAAACUUACGCUAAUACCGCAUACGACCUACGGGUGAAAGCAGGGGAUCUUCGGACCUUGCGCGAUUGAAUGAGCCGAUGUCGGAUUAGCUAGUUGGCGGGGUAAAGGCCCACCAAGGCGACGAUCCGUAGCUGGUCUGAGAGGAUGAUCAGCCACACUGGAACUGAGACACGGUCCAGACUCCUACGGGAGGCAGCAGUGGGGAAUAUUGGACAAUGGGCGCAAGCCUGAUCCAGCCAUACCGCGUGGGUGAAGAAGGCCUUCGGGUUGUAAAGCCCUUUUGUUGGGAAAGAAAAGCAGCAGGUUAAUACCCCGCUGUUCUGACGGUACCCAAAGAAUAAGCACCGGCUAACUUCGUG
rnacentral:rRNA from 1 species